rnacentral:rRNA from 1 species
UACGGAGGGUGCGAGCGUUGUCCGGAAUCACUGGGCGUAAAGGGCGCGUAGGCGGCAGGCCAAGCGUGCGGUGAAAGUCCGGGGCUCAACCCCGGAUCGGCCGUGCGGACUGGGGAGCUCGAGUUCUGUAGAGGCGGGUGGAAUUCCGGGUGUAGCGGUGGAAUGCGUAGAGAUCCGGAAGAACACCGGUGGCGAAGGCGGCUCACUGGCUCAUACUGGACGCUGAGGUGCGAAAGCGUGGGGAGCAAACAGG